rnacentral:rRNA from 1 species
UACAGAGGGUGCAAGCGUUGUUCGGAAUUACUGGGCGUAAAGGGCGCGUAGGCGGCUUGGCAAGUCAGACGUGAAAUCCCGGGGCUUAACUCCGGAAGUGCGUUUGAAACUGCCUCGCUAGAGUACAGUAGAGGUUGGUGGAAUACCUAGUGUAGAGGUGAAAUUCGUAGAUAUUAGGUGGAACACCGGUGGCGAAGGCGGCCAACUGGGCUGUAACUGACGCUGAGGCGCGAAAGCGUGGGGAUCAAACAGG